rnacentral:lncRNA from 1 species
UUACUGUAUGCAACUUUGUCUGCGUUAGUUUUGCUUGUUGGAUCUUAACUUGUAUUCAAUUUUGAAUUUUCUCUUUAUGCUGAUUGAGUUUGAGGGAAAAACAUCUUGCUAUUGAAAGAGGGUAGUUGAAAGUUUCAAUCUUUAACCUACGGGGUUUACUUGGUGUAAAUCAAGUAUAACAAUUUGGUGGUUUUGGUAUUGAACAAAUUCAUUGUUUACUUUGUUCUUUCUUUAUAGUGAUAAAAAUAAAUCCUGCAUAUUAGUUAACGAAAAUAAUGAAGUGUGCUUAUGUUUGAUGUAUUAUAUUCUCAUUUUUAACAUUAGAGACAUGCAUUAUCUUUGUGUAGCCACAAAUAUCUCUGUUUUGGAAUUAUGUACAGUAUUUGUAAUUAUAUCCAUCGCUGCAAAUCAGCAUCAACAAUUUUGACUUCUGCUCAGUCUCUGUAUCCAUUAUCCAUCAUUCCUCAUUCUCACUCUCAACCUACAUUUCACACUCCCAGAUCCCUCACUUACAGGUAACUAACUAACAAAACAAAUAAAAC